rnacentral:rRNA from 1 species
ACGGGAGGCAGCAGUGGGGAAUAUUGCACAAUGGGGGGAACCCUGAUGCAGCAACGCCACGUGUGGGAAGAAGCAUUUCGGUGUGUAAACCACUGUCGUGAGGGAAUAAUGCUUGGCUCCGGCCAAGUUGAAUGUGCCUCGAAAGGAAGCACCGGCAAACUUCGUGCCAGCAGCCGCGGUAAUACGAGGGGUGCAAGCGUUGUGCGGAAUCACUGGGCGUAAAGGGAGCGUAGGCGGAGACGCAAGCAGUCUGUACAAGACCGGGGCCCAACCCCGGACCUGCAGACUGGACUGUGUCUCUUGGAUAGUUCAGGGGCAGGCGGAAUUCCUGGUGUAGCGGUGGAAUGCGUAAAGAUCAGGAAGAACACCGAUGUCGAAGGCAGCCUGCUGGGGACUCAUCGACGCUGAGGCUCGAAAGUGCGGGUAGCAAACAGGAUUAGAUACCCUGGUA